rnacentral:lncRNA from 1 species
GUAGUCUCUAAUAUGAAGUUUUCAAGAACAUAUGUCACAAUAUGUCACAGUUAGGCGUCCUCCGCCCUGGAUUUUUCUGUUUGAACAUAUAGAACAAUCCUUACUCUUUACAUCUUCACAGUAUCGCAAUAUAUGUAGUUUGCCAUUAAGCCUUUCCUCUUUAUCUGAGGAGGAUAAUCUUCCUGAUUUUGAAGAUGCUCCAUCACGAAAAUCACCUACAAGUUGUUCCACCAAUUUCUGGACCAAAAUAAAAUGUGACAUAGACGUCUUAUUUUUUCUUCUAGCUAACAUCUCAGCUAUAAGAUGUAGCUAUUGAUUGUGCAUAUCUCGAAUCCCCAGAAAAAAAUGUUCUUCACCAUUUACAUGAUUUCCUUAUAAAAUAAUAUGAACUUGCUAAUGUAGACGGUGCUACCUUCUUUUAAUCUUCUUUGUAUAGCUUUCAUAUUCGAGGUAUCGUAGCUGCUUAAUAUGCUGAUUGUUUAAUCAUAUCUAGAAUAUAUUUUUUUUAACGGUACCAGGUAAAUAACACCUUAGUUUUAAACUCUUGCAAAAUAUCUAUCUAUAAAGAUAUGAUAUUCCUUUACCUCAGAAUUUGCGUUCAAUAACUUUUGAUAUAGUUGUAAAACAAUCCUUGAACUUACAGGGAGGUCUAGACGUAUGAUACAUUCUAUACUAACGUUUCUGUAGUAGGGAAGCAUAGCAUAUAUGUAUCCUGUACGUGCGUCUGAUAAUACAAAUACGGAUUCCCUAUUUGGUGGGCUUAUUGGGAUUGUAAGUUAUGAAACUAAUUUUGCCCUUAAAUUUAACAAUAAAUUCAUCGAUUGAUAUUUCUUUA